CCAGGUUCCCCUUAUUAUUAUAGUGCCGCCCCCCGGGGCUCCGCCCCUGCCGCUGCUGCCGCUGCCUAUGACCGCCACUAGUUACCGCGGGGACCACAUCAAGCUUCAGGCCGACAGCUUCGGCCUCCACAUCGUCCCGGUCUGACCACCCACCCUGGAGGGAGGGAGGACCGUCGCGACGCGAUGCCUCUCGGCUACCAUUCCAACCCCACCCCAAGAUCCCCGCAGCCCUUCACGUCGAAGACCGGACAGGACGAGUGGAGCCGCGGGCGGGACCCUCAGGCCCGGGUCCUCCGCCCCCAACCCCGCCCGCCGCCCCUCCCCGCCUGCCUGGACUGUGCGGCGCCUUGAGGAGGGUCGGGCCCAGCUCGCUUGGGUUUCGCCCAGCGGUCUCAGAGCCGGCCUGCCAUCCCGCAGGUUCUGGCCCGGCCCGCCGCCGCACACGCCGGAUAAAUUUCUGUGACACACAAUCAGCGCGGACUGCAGCGCGGCCCAGCCCCGGAGCAGCCUGUCUCAGACGCUUGGUCGCCGGGAGGCUUGGCUGGAGGGGCUGGGCAAAAGAAAUAAUGAACAAAACGGAUUUUCUGCAAAAGAAGGAAAAACCGCCUGCCGAACCCUGGGAGAAAAUUCCUUACCCCCUGAGCCAGCCGGACUGCCCCCUGCUUUCUGGGUGUGCUUAGCCCUAGAAGGUGGAAAAGGGGGCGUGAGGGGGCUCUAGGAAUGGCGCUUGGGGGCGUCAAGUCUUCCAAGACUGGGAUCCAAGGCAUGCAGCCCCAGCGGCCUGCGCCAACCAAGCCCGACUCUAGGAUGCGCUUCCUCUACCUGGACUGCCUAGUUCCCCAGGGCCCAGGCACCUCCUGCUACGUGACUCGACUCGGCCCCGCCUUGCCCCUACCUCAGCGUCACUUCCAUCUCACAUCCUCCCAAUUUCCCCUCCUGAGGUUCCUUUGCCCAUCCCUCAACGCCCUGAGGUCCCUGGUCCCUAACUUGCCGCCCCGUGGGACGCUCUCCCCGACCCGCCGCGGGACCAGUUUCCAUCGGCAGCGGGCACUGGUCUUCCCGAGCAGUCUCUUGGUGCCCCCCCCCCCGACCCCGACACAGACUCCCAAUCUGCCGGCGGCAGGAGCCGGUUCUGAGCUGAAGUCCGAGCUGCCGCGGAGUGCAAGUGGGGGCUGCCUACUCCCCACCCCGCCCCUAGCCUCCUUUCCCACAAGAACUGAACAGAACCGCAAAAGUCUACAAUUAUUUAAUAUGAUCUUUGCAAAAAGGAACAAAACAAAAAUACCAACAGGCUGCUGCUUUGUAGAAAGAUGGUGUGUGUCGCGUGAAGGCGAACCCCGGUGUAUAUAACCCCUCCCCCUCCGUCCCGCCCCGUAGAGUUCCUGUCGCCCGCCCUGCCUGUAGAUACGCCCCGCUGUCUGUGCUGUGAGAGUCGCCGCUCGCUGGGGGGAGGGGGGACACAGCUACACGCCCACUAAAGCACAGCACGUCCGGGAAGGGGGGCAUUUUUAUGUUACAAAAAAAUUACGAAAGAAAAGAAAUCUCUAUGCAAAAUGACGAACAUGGUCCCGUGGACUCCUCUCCUGUUUUGUUGGCUAUUUCUCUGUAAUUCCGUGUUUUCGCUUUCAACCCCAGUGCAUCUCUCCCGUCUCUUCACCACCUUCCUCUCUCUGCUUUUCUCCCCUUGUCUCUGUCUCUGUCCGUCCUUGCCUCGCUUGUCUCCGUCUCUGCCCCUCCCUGGACUCUCUCCCCAGCCCAGCCCCGGCCGUCCUGCCCUCGCAGGCUAGAUCAGAGGUGGCAGCCCCAGUCCCCCCGCUGGCCCCUUGCGGCUGGGCCGGGCCGGACUGAGCCGCCCCGCCCCGCCCUGUAGUGCUCUCUCAGUAGCGGCGUUGCGCCCUGCAUGUCUCCUCACCCGUGGAUCGUGACAACUCGAAAUAACAGAAACAAAAGUCAAUAAAAGUGAAAAUAAAUAAAUAAAUAAAAAUCCUUGAACAAAUCCGAAAAGGCUUGGAGUCCUCGCCCAGAUCUCUCUCCCCUUCGAGCCUUUCUAUUUGAAAGGGAAAGCGAGAAAAGAAAAUAAUUUAAGGGAAUUGCCGGCGCCCAGCCAGGCUCCUGUGGCCCGAGAAGGACGGUGAGGGCGCCCAGGUCCCAACUCCGAGGUCCAGCCCAUCCCAGUCCUUGUGAGGCUGGCCGGGCAGAAGCUCCCGGGACUUAGGACCAGGCUUAAUCUUUGAAAGGUCCCCCGAAGUUCUGGUCUCCUUGGCCACUUUCAAUGCGUCGGUUCUUUUUGAUUCUUUUUUUUUCUUUUUUUUUCCCCUUUACUUUCUUUUUUCUUUUUCUUUCUUUCUUUUCUCUCUUUUUUUGUGCACAUGAGAAAUAAAUUAAUAAUAAUAAUAAUAAUAAUAAAAUUUUGUAUGUCAUUCCCCA
rnacentral:lncRNA from 1 species